UAGGGAAUCUUCCGCAAUGGACGAAAGUCUGACGGAGCAACGCCGCGUGAGUGAAGAAGGAUUUCGGUUCGUAAAACUCUGUUGUUAGGGAAGAAAAAAUGUAUAGUAACUAUAUACAAAAGAGACGGUACCUAACCAGAAAGCCACGGCUAACUACGUGCAAGCAGCCGCGGUAAUACGUAGGUGGCAAGCGUUGUCCGGAAUUAUUGGGCGUAAAGCGCGCGCAGGUGGUUUAGAAAGUCUGAUGUGAAAGCCCACGGCUCAACCGUGGAGGGUCAUUGGAAACUAAUAAACUUGAGUGCAGGAGAGAAAAGUGGAAUUCCUAGUGUAGCGGUGAAAUGCGUAGAGAUUAGGAGGAACACCGGUGGCGAAAGCGGCUUUUUGGCCUGCAACUGACACUGAGGCGCGAAAGCGGGGGGAGCAAACAGG
rnacentral:rRNA from 1 species